UACGUAGGGUGCGAGCGUUGUCCGGAAUUAUUGGGCGUAAAGGGCUCGUAGGCGGUCUGUUGCGUCAGGAGUGAAAACUCGGGGCUUAACCCCGAGUCUGCUUCUGAUACGGGCAGACUAGAGGUAUGCAGGGGAGAACGGAAUUCCUGGUGUAGCGGUGAAAUGCGCAGAGAUCAGGAGGAACACCGGUGGCGAAGGCGGUUCUCCGGGCAUUACCUGACGCUGAGGAGCGAAAGUGUGGGGAGCGAACAGG
rnacentral:rRNA from 1 species